rnacentral:rRNA from 1 species
GCGUGAGUGAUGAAGGCCUUAGGGUUGUAAUGCUCUUUUGGCGGGGAAGAUAAUGACGGUACCCGCAGAAUAAGCCCCGGCUAACUUCGUGCCAGCAGCCGCGGUAAUACGAAGGGGGCUAGCGUUGUUCGGAAUUACUGGGCGUAAAGCGCACGUAGGCGGACUAACAAGUCAGGGGUGAAAUCCCGGGGCUCAACCUCGGAAUUGCCCUUGAUACUGUCAGUCUAGAGUCCGGAAGAGGUGGGUGGAAUUCCUAGUGUAGAGGUGAAAUUCGC